rnacentral:rRNA from 1 species
AGAGUUUGAUCCUGGCUCAGGAUGAACGCUAGCGGCAGGCUUAACACAUGCAAGUCGAGGGGUAUAGUAGCAAUACUAGAGACCGGCGCACGGGUGCGUAACGCGUAUGCAAUCUACCUUUUACAGAGGGAUAGCCCAGAGAAAUUUGGAUUAAUACCUCAUAGUAUAAUGAGUUGGCAUCAACACAUUAUUAAAGUCACAACGGUAAAAGAUGAGCAUGCGUCCCAUUAGCUUGUUGGUAAGGUAACGGCUUACCAAGGCAACGAUGGGUAGGGGUCCUGAGAGGGAGAUCCCCCACACUGGUACUGAGACACGGACCAGACUCCUACGGGAGGCAGCAGUGAGGAAUAUUGGACAAUGGGCGCAAGCCUGAUCCAGCCAUGCCGCGUGCAGGAUGACGGUCCUAUGGAUUGUAAACUGCUUUUGUACAGGAAGAAACACUGGUUCGUGAACCAGCUUGACGGUACUGUAAGAAUAAGGAUCGGCUAACUCCGUGCCAGCAGCCGCGGUAAUACGGAGGAUCCAAGCGUUAUCCGGAAUCAUUGGGUUUAAAGGGUCCGUAGGCGGUUAGAUAAGUCAGUGGUGAAAGCCCAUCGCUCAACGGUGGAACGGCCAUUGAUACUGUCUGACUUGAAUUAUUAGGAAGUAACUAGAAUAUGUAGUGUAGCGGUGAAAUGCUUAGAGAUUACAUGGAAUACCAAUUGCGAAGGCAGGUUACUACUAAUGGAUUGACGCUGGUGGACGAAAGCGUGGGUAGCGAACAGGAUUAGAUACCCUGGUAGUCCACGCCGUAAACGAUGGAUACUAGCUGUUGGGCGCAAGUUCAGUGGCUAAGCGAAAGUGAUAAGUAUCCCACCUGGGGAGUACGUUCGCAAGAAUGAACUCAAGGAAUUGACGG